rnacentral:lncRNA from 10 species
CCGAGGAGGCGGUGCUGGGGCGGGCGCAGGACUGCAGGCUGGGGCUCCGCUCCCCGGCGGGAGCCCGCGCGUGGUUCCCAGCGAAGUCCCCGCGCGGCUGGGCCCAGCGUGAGUAUUCUCCGCCCGCUGUCCUCCCCCUGGAGGCGGCAGCGCCCGUUUAUUUGAGCCGUGUGAAGAUGUGCCUGCUUCGCCUUCCAUCAUGACUGAAGUUUCCUGAGGCCUCCCCAGCUAUGCUCCCUAUACAGCCUGCAGAACGGUGAG